CAAACUUCCUAUUGUUAUUCUACCAUUCCAUUUUAGUAGAAGUCCUACACGUAUAUUAUGGGAUCCAACACGACCAAGGCAAAAGGAAAUGGUCGUAACUGAUUCAUCUGUGACUUUGCCUUCUACGACCACAACACAUCCAUCUGAGGCUCCGUUACAGCCUCCUGCAGGACAUCCCACGGAUCAUCAGCCUCACCGAAUUGUAGAAGACAAAGA